rnacentral:rRNA from 1 species
CCUACGGGAGGCAGCAGUGAGGACUAUUGGUCAAUGGACGCAAGUCUGAACCAGCCAUGCCGCGUGCAGGAAGACGGCUCUAUGAGUUGUAAACUGCUUUUGUACGAGAGUAAACGCAGAUACGCGUAUCUGUCUGAAAGUAUCGUACGAAUAAGGAUCGGCUAACUCCGUGCCAGCAGCCGCGGUAAGACGGAGGAUUCAAGCGUUAUCCGGAUUUAUUGGGUUUAAAGGGUGCGUAGGCGGUCUGAUAAGUUAGAGGUGAAAGCCCGAGGCUCAACUUCGGAAUUGCCUUUGAUACUGUUCGGCUAGAGAGUAGUUGCGGUAGGCGGAAUGUAUGGUGUAGCGGUGAAAUGCUUAGAGAUCAUACAGAACACCGAUUGCGAAGGCAGCUUACCAAGCUACUUCUGACGGUGAGGCACGAAAGUGUGGGGAGCAAACAGGAUUAGAUACCCGGGUAGUC